rnacentral:sRNA from 1 species
GCCAGGCAUGGUUGCAUGUACCUGUAAUCCCAGUAGCUCAGGAGGCUGAGGCAGGAGGCUCACAAAUUAGAGCCAGCCUCAGCAAAAAUCAGGUGCUACACAACUCAGUGAGACCCUGUCUCUA